ACCAACCUGUUGGCAAUUGGCUACAUAGGAGAGAUGGAUACGAGGGUGUUCAAGAAGCCAGAUGCAUACAACUUAGAUGUUGGGACUGAACAAGGCUUUGAAUACUGUUGAUCUCUGUGGAAUAAACUGCCCAGGAUUUGUGGACAGAAAAGGAGUUCUGGCACAAGUUCUUGCCAUAAAGACAUUGAUAUUUGAAUGUCCAGAAGACCACAGACACUUGGCCGCCUUUCCAAGGAAACUUGUAGAUGCUGUUGGGUCUCCAAAGUCACUGUAGUGAGCUGAAGGGUCUAGAACUCACUUGAAUGAACUAAAACUGCUUUGAAAGCUGUAGCAUUUAUCUUUUUUAGCACAUUCUGUUCAAUAGUCAUUGAUUGUUCAUUUAUUUAUCUGUCACUUUUUAGUUCUACUCAUUCAAUAGCUUUGGCACUGAGUUGGUGCUUCUUCAAGACUGUUUACUGGCU